rnacentral:rRNA from 1 species
AGAGUGAACGCUGGCGGCAGGCCUAAUACAUGCAAGUCGAACGGCAGCACGGCAGAGCUUGCUCUGUGGGUGGCGAGUGGCGGACGGGUGAGGAAUACAUGGGAAUCUGCCCAGUCGUGGGGGAUAACGUAGGGAAACUUACGCUAAUACCGCAUGCGCCCGUUCGGGGGAAAGCCGGGGACCUUCGGGCCUGGCGCGAUUGGAUGAGCCCAUGUCGGAUUAGCUAGUUGGCGGGGUAACCGCCCACCAAGGCGACGAUCCGUAGCUGGUCUGAGAGGAUGAUCAGCCACACUGGAACUGAGACGACGGUCCAGACCUCCGACGGGAGCAGCAGUAGGAAUAGUUGGACAAGUGGGCGACGAACGCCUGACUCCGAGCCC